GAUGAACGCUAGCUACAGGCUUAACACAUGCAAGUCGCGGGGCAGCAUGGGGGUUGCUUGCAAUCCCCGAUGGCGACCGGCGCACGGGUGAGUAACGCGUAUCCAACCUGCCCUUCACCACGGGAUAACCCGGCGAAAGUCGGACUAAUACCGUAUGUUGUCCAUUGACGGCAUCCGAUUUGGACGAAAGGUUUGGCGGGGAAGGAUGGGGAGGCGUCCGAUUAGCUGGACGGCGGGGGGACGGCCCACCGUGGCGGCGGUCGGUAGGGGUUCUGAGAGGAAGGUCCCCCACACUGGAACUGAGACACGGACCAGACUCCUACGGGAGGCAGCAGUAAGGAAUAUUGGUCAAUGGGCGUAAGCCUGAACCAGCCAAGUAGCGUGCAGGAUGACGGCCCUAUGGGUUGUAAACUGCUUUUAUGCGGGGAUAAAGUGGCCCACGUGUGGGUUUUUGCAGGUACCGCAUGAAUAAGGACCGGCUAAUUCCGUG
rnacentral:rRNA from 1 species